rnacentral:tRNA from 1 species
GCCUGGGUGGCUCAGUCGGUUGAGCGUCUGACUUUGGCUCAGGUCAUGAUCUCACUGUCAUGAGUUCAAGCCCCGAGUCAGGCU